UACGUAGGGGGCAAGCGUUAUCCGGAAUCACUGGGCGUAAAGGGUGCGUAGGUGGUUCUUCAAGUCAGAAGUGAAAGGCAGUGGCUUAACCAUUGUAAGCUUUUGAAACUGAAGAACUUGAGUGCAGGAGAGGUAAGUGGAAUUCCUAGUGUAGCGGUGAAAUGCGUAGAUAUUAGGAGGAACACCAGUGGCGAAGGCGACUUACUGGACUGUAACUGACACUGAGGCACGAAAGCGUGGGGAGCGAACAGG
rnacentral:rRNA from 1 species